UACGGAGGGUGCAAGCGUUGUCCGGAUUUAUUGGGUUUAAAGGGUGCGUAGGCGGCCGUUUAAGUCCGGGGUGAAAGCCCGCGGCUCAACCGCGGAACUGCCAUUGAUACUGGGAGGCUUGAGUACAGACGAGGUAGGCGGAAUUGAAGAUGUAGCGGUGAAAUGCUUAGAUAUCUUCAAGAACACCGAUUGCGUAGGCAGCUUACUAGGCUGUAACUGACGCUGAGGCACGAAAGCGUGGGGAGCGAACAGG
rnacentral:rRNA from 1 species